GUUAGCCAAUUUACUCUACAGGCAAAAAAAAGCUGAAACAUAGGAAGAAAACAGACAAAUAGUAGUUACUUUCAUAUUUAGCUGAAUGUCUGAAGGUAUAAGGCAGUGUACGCUUUUGUAUUUACCCGUCUCCAAAGAUAACAAACGGGUCAGAAAUUAAAAAAAAAACAGGCAGGAGGUUGAGUUACGCAAACGCCUGUCUUUUCCGACGAAAUGAGAAGGCGGAUGAGUACUUUAAAUUAGCUAGUUAGCAAGCUCACGAUUUUAUUCGUCUAGCAAGGUUUGUGUGGUUAUUACUCUCUUUAUCAGAGAACUAUAGAGAUAGUAAUCACGACAGUUGUCUGUAAAUACGUGCCCAGGAUUGUCAUUCAUUGACCGCCUCGGGGCUCUCCCCCGGCCGGCGACAGAAGCAUGGCAGGAAAUCCGAGGAGGGGCGCAGGUCUCAUCGGCUUGAUGAAGGACGCAUUUCAGCCCCAUCACCAGCCUCUCCAGCCUCACCAACCUGCAGUGGUAGACAAGAAAAUGGUUGAGAAAUGCUGGAAACUUAUGGAUAAGGUGGUGCGUCUGUGCCAGAACCCUAAGGUGGCGCUGAAGAAUAGCCCUCCAUACAUCCUGGACCUACUGCCAGACACCUACCAGCACCUCCGCACCAUACUGUCACGCUAUGAGGGCAAGAUGGAGACACUCGGGGAGAACGAGUACUUCAGGGUAGUGAUGGAGAACCUGACCAAUAAGAUCAAGCAGACCAUGAGCUUGUUCAAGGAGGCCAAGGAGCGCAUGUAUGAGGAGAACUCUCAGCCCAGGCGGAACUUGACCAAGCUGUCGCUGAUAUUCAGUCACAUGCUGGCUGAGCUAAAAGCCAUCUUUCCCAAUGGCCUAUUCCAAGGAGACAACUUCCGCAUCACCAAAGCCGACGCCGCCGAGUUCUGGAGGAGGUCUUUUGGUGAUAAGACCGUUGUUCCAUGGAGGAUGUUCCGUCAGGCUCUUCAUGAGUUCCACCCCAUCAGCUCAGGCCUGGAGGCCAUGGCUCUGAAGUCUACCAUCGACCUCACAUGUAACGACUACAUCUCCGUCUUCGAGUUUGACAUCUUCACCAGGCUCUUCCAGCCAUGGUCAUCUCUCCUGAGGAAUUGGAACAGCCUGGCUGUCACACACCCGGGGUAUAUGGCCUUCCUCACCUACGACGAGGUUAAGGCCCGACUGCAAAGGUUCAUCCACAAGCCUGGCAGUUAUAUCUUCAGACUGAGUUGCACUCGGCUGGGCCAGUGGGCCAUUGGCUACGUCACUGCAGAUGGGAACAUUCUGCAGACCAUACCCCACAACAAGCCCCUCUUUCAGGCCCUCAUUGAUGGAUUCAGGGAGGGAUUCUACCUGUUCCCAGAUGGCCGGGCCCAGAACCCAGACCUCACAGGGCUGUGUGAGCCCUCCCCACAGGACCACAUCAAAGUCACACAGGAGCAGUACGAGCUCUACUGUGAGAUGGGCUCCACAUUCCAGCUGUGUAAGAUCUGUGCCGAGAAUGACAAGGAUGUGAAGAUAGAGCCCUGCAGCCACCUCAUGUGCACCUCCUGUCUCACUGCCUGGCAGGAAUCGGAGGGGCAGGGCUGUCCGUUCUGCCGCUGUGAGAUUAAAGGCACAGAGCCCAUUGUGGUAGACCCCUUCCACCCCAAGAACAGCAGCUGCGGGGCCUCCUUUGCCAGCUUCCAGGGGCCCUACGGGGUGGAAGGAGGGGGCUCCCUGUCAGUCUCCCCCAGCAACGAAGAGGACGAUGACGAGCGCCUGGAGGAUCCCCACCUCAUUAUGAGCAGGCUGGCCUGCACCAAGGUGGAGCGUCCGCCCUCCCCUGUGACGCCGCUGCCCCCCCGUGCCUCCCCGGCUGGACCUUCUGCAGCAGAAGCCCCCCAGCUCCCCAGGGGCCCCGGGCCAAGGAGCAACAACCAAGAUUGCAGCCCUCCACAGAGACAAACCUUUGCCCCUCCCUCCUGCCCUGCGAGAGUUACCCCCACCUCCCCCACCCGAACGCCCCUCUCCCCUUGGACCCCCAGAGGGCCGGCUCCAAAGGAGACCUCUGCCAUGCACCCCUCCAGAGCCCAACUGGGCCUCCAACUACAUGGUUCCCCGGCACGUAGCCAAGGCCCCCCCACAGACCAAUGGACCCAGUGACAGUGACUGCAUCCACAGAGCAAAGCUGCUAGCAGCGACCAACGCUAUCUACUCCCUGGCAGUCGGGCCUCAACUGGAGUCUACUGGUGAGAAGUCAUCUGGGAGUGAUGAGGAGAAUGAGUACAUGAGCCCCACCUCUCUCCCUGCAGCAGGACCCUCCUGCGUCAUGGCGGGUGCUGUCAUGCCUGCACCACCACCGCUCCAACCCACUAACCACGACUCACGGACUGUGGACUGUGAGGACCCUCAGGUGUAUGAGUCCAUGUGUAACAUCCAGGCCCAGGCUAGUGCUACUGAGCCCCUCCCUCUGCCCUCCCUGCCCCAGCAGCCCCCAGAGUCAGACUACCUCAUCCCUCCCCCUGCGGUUCCCCUGCACCAUAUGGUAGAGGAGAUGGAUGAUGAGGAUGAGUAUGAGUAUGACUACCCCCGACCCCAGGCUCCCCCAGCACCCGCCAGGCGCACCCUCUCUGACGUCACCGGCACCUCGGCCGCCUUCAGCUGCCUAUCAAUGGACAGCCCUUCCAUAGAUGCCUCUAUGUUUGCAUCAGGUCAGGACCCCGAGCGCCCCCCUAAGCCCCUCCCACGCCGGGUCAACUCAGACCACCGGCCCCGCCCCUUUACCCCAGAUGCCCUGCCCCCUGCCGCCAGUCCGUUGGCUGGCUCCCGAGGUGUGCCCGUUCCCAGUGUGGCGCUACCCAUCAACGGGGAGAUAGAGCAUCUGAUGAGCCAGGGCUACUCGUUCCAGGACAUCCAGAAGGCCCUGAUGAUCGCCCAGAACAACCUGGAGACGGCUAAGAACAUCCUGCGCGAGUUUGUGUCCAUCCCCUCCACGGCCCACAUCCUCACGUAGCAGCCUCAACACCACACCCUAUAUCCUUUACCCACUGUGCCAUAAUGGAUAGCAUUUCUACUGUGCUGGUUGUGACAGGUCUGGAAGCGCUGUAAAUUGUAAGGGGAAGAGGACUCGGUCCCAUGCAUAGGCAUCUAAGUGAGAGGGAGAAUGCUUGACGUGGCCUCUAUUGCCAAGCCUUUGACCCUUGUAUGGUGAUUUGUGCUUGCCUCCAGUCUUAUUGUGCGGCUCUAAGCAUUUCCUUGUUUCUGAGUGUGCUUAGGCUGCAGUAAGGAAUAGUUAUGGACUUAUUGUGCAGCAGCAGCAGUAACUGUUGUUGGGGAAUACUUGACUCAUGAUUCCCACUCCCUCUUCACCCUAAUGGUGACCAUGUUAGUUUUGGUUGGGUCGUAGUCGUACAUACAGUUUGUAGCUAGAUACGCCAGCAUUAGAUUCUGUGGUUUGUGCUAAAGCCAAUGAAUGUGAAUAUUUUAGUUGGGUUGCAGUAUUACAGCGCUCCAUGUCAUACAUUUCACUGUAAUUGCAGUAGGUGAAGUAACUCUUUUUUUAAAAGUAAGCAUAACUCCAAAUUGCUUUAGUUCCUGGUUUAGUGAUCGUCUUAUAAUAUAUAUAAAGCCUGAAUGACGUGUACGUAAUCUCAGAAUGUAUUCAAUGUAGUGCUAACAUUGACUGGUGAACUAAUGUAACAUUUCUGAUGUCAUUAUUUUGUAUAAUUGUUUUAAUACCACCAGUGGUAGUGGUUUCACGGUUAAGCCUUAUUGUUAAUUAUGUGAAUAGCUUACAUAUUUUAAAGUGAGUGUCCUUUUUUUAAUGUCAUACUUAAAAAUGAAGGGAGUAUAUGUGCCCUAUCUGAAUUUUGCGCUCUGCUAAUCAGUGUGCAAUUGGACUGCUGCUUGUAAGGGUUUGUUUUUUUCGUAUCCAUACUAUUCAUUUUCCAGACAAUAACAUAUUGAUUGGGCAGAGAAGACAAAGUGAUCCAAGUCAUGUAUACACCAUGAUAUUUAGUGAAAUGAAGAACUUAAUUGGCACUACCUCAGACUUGCUUUGCUGCCUCCUCUGGGAAAGAACACUUUGUACAACGUUCUUGUUUAUACGUUACAAACAGAAUAUGGCCCCAUUUUAAGGUGUCUCGGUAUGCGUUUUGAACUAAUGUAUUUUCUUUGUACCUACGUUUUUUUUUCUCCCAAGGAUGUGGCUUCGACACAUUUGAGAAAUCUGUUAAUAUAUGAAUAAUUUAAAUAUCUUUCCUUUUGAAUUUGAAACCCUGUUGAACACGGAGGUUUUGUCAUUGUCCUCUGGACUCAGGUACAACAGACUGAACAAUGUGCAGUGAUAUGCCAAGGUUAUUUGGGGACUCACACCAGAAAUGUUAGGUGUUAAUGUGUUGGAUUCAAAGCCAAAAGCAUUUAAAUACAGGUUUGAAUCACAUUAUUAGUUGGAGAUACUUCUAGUUGUAAAGAAUGGCCAUGAUAUUUCUGCAUCUGUUUGUUUCGCUUGAGUUCAAUACUGUUUUAACUUCUUUCAAAUUGUGAUGUACUUUGACUGCAAUUCCUUGAUCAUCAACUUAAGUGCCACUCCUUGUAAAAUCAUUUGAGAAUUGACUUCAGGCCUCUGCUUUCCACUGUGUCGCUCAUAUGUGGACUCACCACAAGAGGGCACGCUGUCAUAAGAGAUUGCUGUGGUCUCAUACGCCACACUAGUCAUUGCUCAAUAGUUGCAGAAUUUACCGGUAUACGGAAGCACAGUUGGUGCUUUGUCGUUCGAUCUAAGAUAACAAUGUGAAAUAGUAUGUUAUAAUUCAUUGUGCGCCUCACCUGUACAUACAGAGAGAACAAACAAAAAAACGUUUUUUCAUUGCCUUAUUGCAUGUGUAGUUAAAGUAUUUUAUUUAUUCAUUUUAAUGUACUCAGCAUUCAUUAUGUUGCCAUGUGUUCAUGCCUCAGCCAUUAAAUAUUUUCAAAUAAACAAUAUGCUUUAA